rnacentral:rRNA from 1 species
AGUGAACGCUGGCGGUAGGCCUAACACAUGCAAGUCGAACGGCAGCACAGUAAGAGCUUGCUCUUACGGGUGGCGAGUGGCGGACGGGUGAGGAAUACAUCGGAAUCUACUUUUUCGUGGGGGAUAACGUAGGGAAACUUACGCUAAUACCGCAUACGACCUACGGGUGAAAGCAGGGGAUCUUCGGGCCUUGCGCGAUUGAAUGAGCCGAUGUCGGAUUAGCUAGUUGGCGGGGUAAAGGCCCACCAAGGCGACGAUCCGUAGCUGGUCUGAGAGGAUGAUCCGCCACACUGGAACUGAGACACGGUCCAGACUCCUACGGGAGGCAGCAGUGGGGAAUAUUGGACAAAGGGCGCAAGCCUGAUCCAGCCAUACCGCGUGGGUGAAGAAGGCCUUCGGGUUGUAAAGCCCUUUUGUUGGGAAAGAAAAGCAGCAGGUUAAUACCCCGCUGUUCUGACGGUACCCAAAGAAUAAGCACCGGCUAACUUCGUG